GACGAACGCUGGCGGCGUGCUUAACACAUGCAAGUCGAACGGAAAGGCCCUGCUUGUGUGGGGUGCUCGAGUGGCGAACGGGUGAGUAACACGUGAGUAACCUGCCCUUGACUUUGGGAUAACUUCAGGAAACUGGGGCUAAUACCGGAUAGGAGCUCCUGCUGCAUGGUGGGGGUUGGAAAGUUUCGGCGGUUGGGGAUGGACUCGCGGCUUAUCAGCUUGUUGGUGGGGUAGUGGCUUACCAAGGCUUUGACGGGUAGCCGGCCUGAGAGGGUGGCCGGCCACAUUGGGACUGAGAUACGGACCAGACUGCUACGGGAGGCAGCGGUGGGGAAUAUUGCACAAUGGGCGGAAGCCUGAUGCGGCAGCGCCGCGUGCGGGAUGACGGCCUUCGGGUUGUAAACCGCUUUCGCCUGUGACGAAGCGUGAGUGACGGUAAUGGGUAAAGAAGCACCGGCUAACUACGUG
rnacentral:rRNA from 1 species